rfam:Brassica oleracea var. oleracea cultivar TO1000 chromosome C6, whole genome shotgun sequence
GGAAUAUAAGAACUUGUCUCUUAACUUUUAACUAAAAAAAUUAAGAACCAGCUCUUAAAACUCUUAUUUAAGAACCGGUUCUUAGUUUUUUUUAAUUAAAAGUUAAGAGACAGGUUCUUAUAUUCC